rnacentral:rRNA from 1 species
UGGGGAAUAUUGGACAAUGGGCGAAAGCCUGAUCCAGCCAUGCCGCGUGUGUGAAGAAGGUCUUCGGAUUGUAAAGCACUUUAAGUUGGGAGGAAGGGCAGUAAGCGAAUACCUUGCUGUUUUGACGUUACCGACAGAAUAAGCACCGGCUAACUCUGUGCCAGCAGCCGCGGUAAUACAGAGGGUGCAAGCGUUAAUCGGAAUUACUGGGCGUAAAGCGCGCGUAGGUGGUUCGUUAAGUUGAAUGUGAAAGCCCCGGGCUCAACCUGAGAACUGCAUCCAAAACUGGCGAGCUAGAGUAGGGCAGAGGGUGGUGGAAUUUCCUGUGUAGCGGUGAAAUGCGUAGAUAUAGGAGGGAACACCAGUGGCGAAGGCGACCACCUGGGCUCAUACUGACACUGAGGUGCGAAAGCGUGGGGAGCAAACAGG